CCUACGGGAGGCAGCAGUGAGGAAUAUUGGUCAAUGGACGAGAGUCUGAACCAGCCAAGUAGCGUGAAGGAUGACUGCCCUAUGGGUUGUAAACUUCUUUUAUAUGGGAAUAAAAUGUUCCACGUGUGGGAUUUUGUAUGUACCAUAUGAAUAAGGAUCGGCUAACUCCGUGCCAGCAGCCGCGGUAAUACGGAGGAUUCGAGCGUUAUCCGGAUUUAUUGGGUUUAAAGGGAGCGUAGGUGGAUUGUUAAGUCAGUUGUGAAAGUUUGCGGCUCAACCGUAAAAUUGCAUUUGAAACUGGCAGUCUUGAGUACAGUAGAGGUAGGCGGAAUUCGUGGUGUAGCGGUGAAAUGCUUAGAUAUCACGAAGAACUCCGAUUGCGAAGGCAGUUCACUGGACUGCAACUGACACUGAGGCUCGAAAGUGUGGGUAUCAAACAGGAUUAGAUACCCGAGUAGUC
rnacentral:rRNA from 1 species